rfam:Zootermopsis nevadensis contig18471, whole genome shotgun sequence.
ACAUCGGUUGUUUUAACAACCAUAGAACAUUUAUUUUUAAGCGUGU